rnacentral:rRNA from 1 species
UACAGAGGGUGCAAGCGUUAAUCGGAAUUACUGGGCGUAAAGCGCGCGUAGGUGGUUCGUUUAAGUUGGAUGUGAAAUCCCCGGGCUCAACCUGGGAACUGCAUUCAAAACUGUCGAGCUAGAGUAUGGUAGAGGGUGGUGGAAUUUCCUGUGUAGCGGUGAAAUGCGUAGAUAUAGGAAGGAACACCAGUGGCGAAGGCGACCACCUGGACUGAUACUGACACUGAGGUGCGAAAGCGUGGGGAGCAAACAGG